GAGUUUGAUCAUGGCUCAGAUUGAACGCUGGCGGCAUGCCUUACACAUGCAAGUCGAACGGCAGCACGGGAGCUUGCUCCUGGUGGCGAGUGGCGAACGGGUGAGUAAUGCAUCGGAACGUAUCCUGGAGUGGGGGAUAACGUAGCGAAAGUUACGCUAAUACCGCAUAUUCUGUGAGCAGGAAAGCGGGGGACCUUCGGGCCUCGCGCUCUUGGAGCGGCCGAUGUCGGAUUAGCUAGUUGGUGAGGUAAAGGCUCACCAAGGCGACGAUCCGUAGCAGGUCUGAGAGGAUGAUCUGCCACACUGGAACUGAGACACGGUCCAGACUCCUACGGGAGGCAGCAGUGGGGAAUUUUGGACAAUGGGGGCAACCCUGAUCCAGCCAUGCCGCGUGAGUGAAGAAGGCCUCGGUUGUAAGU
rnacentral:rRNA from 1 species